GUGAAUGAAUGACUCUUUUGAACGAGUCGGUUCUUCACAAAAUAUUGCAAAUGAAUUACUGUUUUGUACCGGGUCGAUUCUAAACUAGCUAUUGAUUGAACGGUUUGAAUCAGUUUGAAUGAUUUGUUCCGUUUGCUGCAAGAUCUGAAUCAUCUGUACAUCUGCAGGCUGCAGCACUUCUCGCUCGUAACGUGAAACUUAAAAACACGCCAAGGAGUGGAUGCAAGUGAACUAUCAAUCUACUGAAACAGAAGCGGGAAAUGUAUUCGAAGACGAAAAUGCUCGCGCGACCUGUGCGUCAGACCCGGAUAAACGCACGCGAGCUGACAAAAUCCUGAGUAGCUGUUAUUCAACAUAAACACAUUUCCGCACACAUGAAGAUGGAUGACGAUAGUUCAUCUUAAAAUGAAACUUAGGUUUAUCAGCUUACCCCCAGGCCAUCCAAGAGAUGCUCUUAAGAACAACGCCCUGAUGUCCAAGGUCAACCAGCAAGAAGCUGAGAAGGCACUGCCAAAAUGGUUUACUGGGGCAAGGGACAGAGGAGGACAGAGAGCAUCAAGAAUGCAGAAAAGGAUGUCUGUUUGAGAAAGGUUAAAACUACAGUUGUUGAUUUGAACUGUUGUAGUUCUUUAAUUUUUCUUAAAGGAAAACACAAUCAUUUUUCAAUAUUUACCAUGUUCUUCCCUCAACUUAGAUGAAUUAAUACAAACCUCUCUUUUCUCAAUGUGUGCACUUAAAGGUGGGGUGCACAAUUUCUAAAAAAAACGUUUUGGAAAAGGGAGACAGGCCGACUAUCAAAACACACUUGUAGCCAAUUAGCAGCAUGUCUACUAAAUUACAUCGUUGCCUGGGUUGCGUAUGUGUGGGGCGGGUCUAUCAAAAGAAGGUCCAGAUUCUAUUAGGGUAAGGGUGUGUUUGUUUAGAUGAUUUCAAAUAUCAACAUUGGCUUUCAUGCACUCUGCCUUUAUUUGUUGUAAAGUGUGGCGUGAAUGUGUUAGCAUUUAGCCAAGCACCAUUCAUUCAUUAGGAUCCAAACAGGGAUGAAUUUAAUAGCCACCAAACACUUCCAUGUUUUCCCUAUUCAAAGACUGUUACAUGAGUAGUUACACGAGGAAGUAUGGUAAAAAUAUAACUAUAUUGUAUGGCGGAAGAGCACUUAGUUUGUAGCACUCGACCUUGGGCACAGUAACAUCAUCACUCCUGACUA